AGAGACACUUUAAGAUAAUAGUUGACCAGAAUCUGCUUUCGGCGAAGAGUUAAAGGAAGAAUGUUUGCUUCCACGUGAAGUGAGGCGACAGGAGUUGUUGGGUAUGCUCCAAGAGAAUACCUUAUUGCCAGGUUCUGGAUUUUAUCUAGUGCUCCUAAUAAAGUGUUGUUACCGCAUGUGAGGUAGGCAGGGCUACCAUAAUCAAUUUUUGAUAAAAUCAAUGCUCUAUAUAUGUUAAGUAGAGUCUUAGCAUGCGCACCCCAUUUAUUAUGAGCUAAAACUCUGAUUAUGUUCAGCAACCUCCUACUUGUGGUAACAAUGUUUUGCAGGUGUCUAGACCAUCUUAAUUCACGGUCAAAUGUUAACCCCAGGAACUUGACCUCUUGGGGUACAUUUAUAAUUCGAUCAUUCAUAAACAGGACUGGGUCGUAGUGAGGUUUACGAAGUCGACAGAAGUGAAUGGCCUUAGUCUUCUCUUCCGACAGCACAAAUCCGACAGCGCUUGCAUUUUCCCAUAUUUUAUUUAUUGCCAUUUGUAAUUUACGGGUUAUGGCACCGAUUGUUUUACCAGAACAGCAGAUCAUCAGAUCGUCAACGUACAGGCAUUUAUCUAUUUCCUCGGUGACACCCAUUGCUAUUUCAUUAAUGGCAAUGCCAAAUAGGGAACAGCUUAGUGUUGAUCCCUGCGGCACCCCAUUCUCUAACACCUGUACCUCUGAAUAGGCGUCGCCCACCCUGACAACGAAUGUUCUGUUUUCUAAAAAGGAUUUGAUAAAUUUUGGUAGGUUACCGCGUAUAUGAUACUUAAAGAGUUUUUGGAGUAUUCCAUAUCUCCAAGUCAUAUCAAAUGCGCCUUUAAUAUCAAAGAAUACCCCAACCAGGUGUUCGCCACUGUCAAACGCCCUUAGAAUUCUGUCAGUAAGUCUGACAAGAUGGUCAGUCGUUGACCGUCCCCUCCGAAAACCAGUUUGAUAAGGUACGUACACAUUGUAGUUUUCAAGAAGUGUUUGCAACCGCACAUUAACCAUUUUCUCGAGCAGUUUGCCCAAGAAAGAUGUCAAACUAAUAGGGCGAUAACUCUGUGCCAGUAGCGGAUCUUUUCCUGGUUUCGGUAUAGGGACGAUGACUGCCCGUUUCCAUUCCGAGGGAGGUACAGUGACGAAGCAUCUGGUUAUGGAUACCAUCAUGACCUGGUGAGCAUGACUUGGUACUACGGAGUGCAGUCUGCAAUUCUUCCAGAGUAAAAGGUGAGUUGUAAUCUAAAUUUUCUUCUGUGUUAAAAUUGAUAUACGAAGAUUCUUUUUCAGGUUUAGUGUCCAAAAAGGUGGGAGGAUAGUUAGAGGAGCUACUAACCUUGUAGAAUUGAUCAGCAAUAAUGUUAGUUAUUUCUUGCAGAUCAUUUAUAAUAUUGCCAUCAGCGUUUCGCAGAAACGUCGGGUAAUUGAAACUGAUUUUACCAGAUAUAGCUCCCACUUUCCUCCACACUUCACUACUGGUAGUUUCCGGUGUCAUUGUGGACACGUACUGUUGCCAUGAGUUUCUCUGUGCCUCCAGUAUUGCUCGGCGACACUGUGAUCUUUGUUUCUUAAAUUCUAUAAGAUUAUCCAUUGUGGGAUUCCGACAAAAUUUAUUCAAGGCUUUUUUCUUUAACGAGAUUUUUGCUUUAAUGUCAGAUGACCACCAUGGAACCAUCUUUCUUAUUUUGCCAGGUUUUGAUUUUGGGAUGCUGGCUUCAGCAGCAUUUAUAAUGGAGGAGGUAAGGGCUUUAAGAGUUAAAUUAUCCUGACUAGGGGAGACGAGCUGUUGUGUAAACCGUUCCCAGUUUGCUAGAUUAAUUUUGUACUUGGCUAUUGUUUUAAUGGCAGAGUUUUGACCUCGGACUGUAAUAACUAUGGGAAAGUGGUCACUAUGAUAUAAAUCAUUUUCCACCUCCCAUUUUAAAUUAGUAUGUAUAGCUGGUGAGCAUACUGAUACAUCGAUUGAAUCAAAUGACCUAACAUUGAAGAACGUAGGUGAGUGGUCAUUUAGCAAGCUUAAGUUUUUAUUUUCAACGAGAUUCAAUAACUCUUUGCCUCGAGCAUCAUUUGAGGUAGAGCCCCAAACAGUGUUGUGAGAAUUAAAAUCUCCGACAAGAACAAAGGGUGUUGGAAGCUGAUUUAUAAUUUGUUCAAUUUCUCUUACCUCAUAUGUUGUAUUGGGAACGUAGAUGUUACAAAUUGUAAAGGUUUUGUCAAUUUCAAGUUGGACUGCCACAGCUUGGUAGGUUGUGUUUAAUUGAACCUGUUUAUAGGGUGUGCCUUUUUGAAUGAGAAAAGCCACUCCUCCACAGGCUCUAGCAGGUGCGUUUCUUGAAGAGCAACACACAAUGGGGUGUGUUUUUGAAUGAGAAGUUUCAGUUCGUUGAAAUUAUUGGAUAGUCCUCGACAGUUCCAUUGGAUAAUUUUUGUCGUAUCCAUUUUUUUAUUUUUUAAAUAGAGACAAGCACAGUGUAAUAAAUAACAGAUAAAUAAGAAUUGUUGGUGUAUAU